rnacentral:pre_miRNA from 1 species
AUGUCCCCAUGAGUUCCCUUUAACGCUUCAUUGUUAAUACUCUCUUUUUUUUAGUCAUUGUUAAUACUCAAAACCACAUUUAUUUUCUUAAACGUUUGGUCAGUUUUGUAUGUAACACUGAAGUGUUUGGGGGGACUCUUGGUGCCAU